rnacentral:tRNA from 1 species
GGGGGUGUAGCUCAAAUGGUAGAGCACUCGCUUAGCAUGUGAGAGGUACAAGGAUUGGUACUGUACAUCUCCA